rnacentral:tRNA from 1 species
GGUUUUAUAUUUUAAUAAAAAUAUUAAAUUGCAAAUUUAAAGAUACAUGAGGGUGUUAAAACUU